AUGCAAAGAAGACGACAGGAAACUUCUGCUCGUAACAGUCCCCCUAAAGUGAGCGUCCUGCCGCCGUCCAGUGAAGAGAUUUCCACAAAGCAAACAGCAACACUGAUGUGUGUGGCCAACAAGGGCUUCCCCUCAGACUGGAGUCUGAACUGGAAGGUGGACGGGAUCAGCAGCAGGUCUCAGUACAGCAGUGUUGCUCUCCUGGAGAAGGACGGUCUGUACAGCUGGAGCAGCAGUCUGACUCUCUCUGAGCAGGAGUGGAGCUCAGUGAUCUCAGUCAGCUGUGAGCUCACACAGAAAGACCAGCGUGAUAAAGUCACUGGAGAAUUGAGGAGAGAUCAGUGUUCACAGUAG